rnacentral:rRNA from 1 species
AUUGAACGCUGGCGGCAUGCCUUACACAUGCAAGUCGAACGGCAGCACGGGUGCUUGCACCUGGUGGCGAGUGGCGAACGGGUGAGUAAUACAUCGGAACGUACCUUAUCGUGGGGGAUAACGCAGCGAAAGCUGUGCUAAUACCGCAUACGCCCUGAGGGGGAAAGCGGGGGAUCGCAAGACCUCGCGCGAUUAGAGCGGCCGAUGCCUGAUUAGCUAGUUGGUGGGGUAAAAGCCCACCAAGGCGACGAUCAGUAGCUGGUCUGAGAGGACGAUCAGCCACACUGGGGCUGAGACACGGCCAAGACUCCUACGGGAGGCAGCAGUGGGGAAUUUUGGACAAUGGGGGCAACCCUGAUCCAGCAAUGCCGCGUGAGUGAAGAAGGCCUUCGGGUUGUAAAGCUCUUUUGUCAGGGAAGAAACACCGGCUCUAACACAGUCCGGGAAUGACGGUACCUGAAGAAUAAGCACCGGCUAACUACGUGCCAGCAGCCGCCGUAA